rnacentral:pre_miRNA from 1 species
UGGACAUAUUAUUGUAUUCGACUGUAUUCACGGCGUAAAAACAGGAGAUUACACUAUUUUUUAAACGGAAAAUGAAUCAAUUAACAUAAUAAAUUUCU